AUUUGGUACGUUGAUUGGCUCAUAAUAAUAAUAAUAAUAAUAAUAUCAUUAAUAGCAAAGGCAUUCAACAUUACGCAAAAGUCAUUUAACAUAUCAUUCAAAAUAGGCAUCAACAUGUCUUAAAUCCAUCAAAAUCAAAGUCCAAAAGUAUGUCAUAGAGAUCAACAGAGAUUUCAUUCCUCCUAGGAAUGCAAAGACCUAUCAUCUAAGGCAAAAGCAAUCAUAAUGAAGCAUGAUCAGCAGAACUAGAAUCACCAUUACUCCCCUGAUCUGCAUGUUUUGGUCCAAAUCCAAUAUCUUGUCUCAUCCUUUGAAGAACCUCCUCUUGCCAUUUUUUCUUUUCGUGCUCAAGAAUACCUAGAAGGUCUUCAUGCGUGUACAGCUUUGGAGCUUGACUUGUAG
rnacentral:lncRNA from 1 species